rnacentral:rRNA from 1 species
UACGAAGGGGGCUAGCGUUGCUCGGAAUCACUGGGCGUAAAGCGCACGUAGGCGGCUUGCUAAGUCAGGGGUGAAAUCCUGGAGCUCAACUCCAGAACUGCCUUUGAUACUGACGAUCUCGAGUCCGGGAGAGGUGAGUGGAACUGCGAGUGUAGAGGUGAAAUUCGUAGAUAUUCGCAAGAACACCAGUGGCGAAGGCGGCUCACUGGCCCGGUACUGACGCUGAGGUGCGAAAGCGUGGGGAGCAAACAGG